rnacentral:rRNA from 1 species
GACGAACGCUGGCGGCGUGCCUAAUACAUGCAAGUCGAGCGGACGAAUCGAAAGCUUGCUUUUGAUUCGUUAGCGGCGGACGGGUGAGUAACACGUGGGCAACCUGCCCUGUAGACGGGGAUAACACCGAGAAAUCGGUGCUAAUACCGGAUAACACGAAAUGUCGCAUGACGUUUCGUUGAAAGACGGCGCAAGCUGUCGCUACAGGAUGGGCCCGCGGCGCAUUAGCUAGUUGGUGAGGUAACGGCUCACCAAGGCGACGAUGCGUAGCCGACCUGAGAGGGUGAUCGGCCACACUGGGACUGAGACACGGCCCAGACUCCUACGGGAGGCAGCAGUAGGGAAUCUUCCGCAAUGGACGAAAGUCUGACGGAGCAACGCCGCGUGAGCGAAGAAGGCCUUCGGGUCGUAAAGCUCUGUUGUUAGGGAAGAACAAGUAACGCAGUAACUGGCGUUACCGUGACGGUACCUAACGAGAAAGCCACGGCUAACUGCGUG